AACGAACGCUGGCGGCAGGCUUAACACAUGCAAGUCGAGCGCCCCGCAAGGGGAGCGGCGGACGGGUGAGUAACGCGUGGGAAUCUACCCAUCUCUACGGAAUAACGCAUGGAAACGUGUGCUAAUACCGUAUACGUCCUUCGGGAGAAAGAUUUAUCGGAGAUGGAUGAGCCCGCGUUGGAUUAGCUAGCUGGUGGGGUAAAGGCCUACCAAGGCGACGAUCCAUAGCUGGUCUGAGAGGAUGAUCAGCCACACUGGGACUGAGACACGGCCCAGACUCCUACGGGAGGCAGCAGUGGGGAAUAUUGGACAAUGGGCGCAAGCCUGAUCCAGCCAUGCCGCGUGAGUGAUGAAGGCCCUAGGGUUGUAAAGCUCUUUCACCGGUGAAGAUAAUGACGGUAACCGGAGAAGAAGCCCCGGCUAACUUCGUGCCAGCCGCCGCCGUAAUAC
rnacentral:rRNA from 1 species